GUAGACGCUGAAGUCUGGUGCUUGCACUAGACGGAUGAGUUGCGAACGGGUGAGUAACGCGUAGGUAACCUGCCUCAUAGCGGGGGAUAACUAUUGGAAACGAUAGCUAAUACCGCAUAACAGUAUUUACCGCAUGGUAGAUACUUGAAAGGAGCAAUUGCUUCACUAUGAGAUGGACCUGCGUUGUAUUAGCUAGUUGGUGGGGUAACGGCUCACCAAGGCUUCGAUACAUAGCCGACCUGAGAGGGUGAUCGGCCACACUGGGACUGAGACACGGCCCAGACUCCUACGGGAGGCAGCAGUAGGGAAUCUUCGGCAAUGGGGGCAACCCUGACCGAGCAACGCCGCGUGAGUGAAGAAGGUUUUCGGAUCGCAAAGCUCUGUUGUAAGAGAAGAACUGUGAGAAGAGUGGAAAGUUUCUCAUUUGACGGUAUCUUACCAGAAAGGGACGGCUAACUACGUGCCAGCAGCCGCGGUAAUACGUAGGUCCCGAGCGUUGUCCGGAUUUAUUGGGCGUAAAGCGAGCGCAGGCGGUUUGAUAAGUCUGAAGUAAAAGGCUGU
rnacentral:rRNA from 1 species